rnacentral:rRNA from 1 species
UACAGAGGUCUCAACCGUUGUUCGGAUUCAUUGGGCGUAAAGGGUGCGUAGGCGGUCGUGCAAGUCGGAUGUGAAAUCUCAGGGCUCAACCCUGAAACUGCAUUCGAUACUGCGCGGCUAGAGUGCUGGAGGGGAGACUGGAAUUUACGGUGUAGCAGUGAAAUGCGUAGAUAUCGGGAGGAAUACCGGUGGCGAAAGCGACUCUCUGGACGGCAACUGACGCUGAGGCACGAAAGCGUGGGGAGCAAACAGG